rnacentral:lncRNA from 1 species
GAGUAAGAAAUUAAAAGAAAGCAACUAUCUUCUGAGAGCUCUUCACACGAUGAAGAAAGAAAGAAAUCUGUCCAUGGGAGCUUUGGAGCAAGAAAACUGACAAACGAUUGAAAAAUUGCAUAGGAGUUAGUAGAGUAGGGAGAAAUAAAACAAAAGAAGCCACCCUUUUAAAUAAAAGGACACACAUCUCUUGGAGGACG